CCGCCUGGGGAGUACGGCCGCAAGGUUAAAACUCAAAUGAAUUGACGGGGGCCCGCACAAGCGGUGGAGCAUGUGGUUUAAUUCGAUGCAACGCGAAGAACCUUACCUGGUCUUGACAUCCACAGAAGAAUCCAGAGAUGGAUUUGUGCCUUCGGGAACUGUGAGACAGGUGCUGCAUGGCUGUCGUCAGCUCGUGUUGUGAAAUGUUGGGUUAA
rnacentral:rRNA from 1 species